GUAUACUUUUUCUAGGUGGAGGUGUUAAUUUUAGAUCUAGUAGUUUCCAUUUUACUCGCAUAACAGAUUUGAAAUAGUCCGGUCAAUAUUUAUUUAAAAUAUCAAAAAUUCUCGGAGAGCCAAAUCUUGAUGGAGAGUUAGGAUUUACCAUUAGAAAUAAAGUUUUAAAAAUCCUCAUCGAUUCUAGGGGUAGUACAAAAGUUAUUCCGUGUCAAAGGUCACAAUUUGAUUUUUUCUCGAAAACGCUCAUUCCACUAGUGCGGUAAACAACCUAAGUAAAGUGAAGUAUCUCAUUACGAAACUAAUAUUAGUAUUGUAAUGUUUGAUAUUACAUAUUGGUAGAUCAUAACCUCAAAGUCGGCUUUAACUAGUGCAAAUACAACUUGAUAAUGCAAUUUUACAUCAACCACAGUAACAUCAUCCCAAACAAAUUGAUCGAACACAGAUAUUCCAUGGCCUCUCCGCAGCCCAGACAUACACUCAGCUGAUUUCUUUUUGUGGGGUUUUGUUAAAAGGCACGUCUACGUGGAUGAACAGAGAAGAGCAGUACUCCAUUUAAAGGACAACAUUCAUCAUGAAGUGGGUAACAUACCCAGUGCUACGUGUCAAAGAGUUUUCGAAAAUAUUAGUGCCUGGUUUCAGGAGUUCCAACAUCGACUUUCGAGAAAUAAGUUUCUGUUUUAUUUCAAAUAAACAUUUGUUUCAAUACAGUGUGUUUUUUUGCAACUUUAUGAGUCCAAAAAUAUAUGGCUCACCCUAUAGAUAACACGGAAAAAAGUUGUCACAAU